CUCAUCGUCUCUCAACUCACACCCAUCAGAGACCCGUUCAUCGCCGCCUUACUCCGCCCACCGAAAAUCGCCUACGGCGGCGGCCGACGGCCAAUCACCUCUAAAUUUACACCCUUGAAUCUCCUCCACCUCCCCAUACCAAAUCCCCAUUUCAUUGAACUCAAAUCCCCUUGAAACUCUUCGAAGAAACGGAACCCUAGCGGCGCCUAAUUUCUCUGGUGGAGACGCCACCUCCAAACGACCCAAAAUCAAUACCCUAGAACCUCUCCAGUCUCCUCGUUCCAAAUCCUCACUCCAUCCCCUUCAAAUUCGCCAGAGCGGCUCGAAUCCUAAAUCGAAAAUUUGAGUUCUAAGAUACAAAUCCAAACCUGGGCGUAUAUGAUGUUUGUUCCAACCCGCAUGAUUUUUUUGAGCCGACUUUGUCAUAUAGUGUUGUUCACUUUUGUUUGACAAAGGACAAACGACUAACAUUAUUUGGGGAUGAAGUUGGAGUGUCAGGUCUCGAGUUCGAGUUUAGCCAGUGAGUUCCAUUUCAUUUUUGGGUCUAUUCUAGUUCCAUUUUCAUUUAUUGUCCCUCUCCUUUUCCUUUUUCUUUUCAUUAUUUGAAAUUUCACAAAAUUUUUGGCCAAGUUUGGGAUAUGUCUGUUUGGUCUUCGUUUGAUUUUCAUUUUGUUCUUUUGUUGCCAAGACUGUUUUCCGGUCCCGCUUGAUUUAUUUGGUUUCUGUUGAAUAAAUGGCAUGGUUUCUGUUCCAAUUGGUCAUCUAGUUUAUUUAAUUAGGGUUAUUAGGAUAAUUUGAUUAAUUUUUGCUCAUUCGUGUAAUCAAUUGAUUGGUAUAGGCUUAUUCCUCAGAAUAUUUUCAAGUACUUGCCUUUUGACUAAUAUGAUUUAGUCCACUUGUGUUUGGGCUUUGAAGCCAUUGCAGACCUCACCCUAAUGUGGGUUUGAUUUGGGUCGUUGGGUCAGAAUUGAACCCACUCUUGGUUUCAUUAACGGGUCAACUUGACCCAUUUGGUUCAAGGGAUAAUAACAAAGUUACAAAAUGAUAAUUUGGGUAAUUAACAUGGGAAUCUAGGUGUAAGAGCCUUAGAAAGCUUCUAAGAAGCUAAAAAAGGGAUUUUCUUAGCAAGCAAGUCAAUAUUUCAGGGAUUAAGUAGCAUAAAAUAAAAAUUUGAAAAGGUUUAGGGUGCAAAACUCAGCUCAUUUCUGCAGCCCUAAAACCUGGUCUAUUAAUACAUCCUUACUUGAAGCUCAAUGGAGAUUUUUUGACCUAGACCAAAAAACCGACAAAAAUUAGAAAUAACACAAACGGCCGAGAACUUUGGAAAACACUGUUCCAUUUUUGUUUCUGUAGAUUUCUAAUUCUUAAAUGACUGUUGGUUGAUCUAGGUUAAAAAAAUGGAUUGGAUCUAAGUCUACAAGGCUGAGUUUGAUUCAUAUAGAGUUUGGUUUGAGGUCUUGGUGGGUGUAGUUGGUUAAGCAUUGUUGCUACUGUAGUUGGUUAAGCAUUGUUGGUACUGUGUUGUUUUGAUACUUCUGACUCUCCUUGUUCUAUCUUCUUUGCUUUUCCAGGUAUUUCCCAAUCCAUUGAUAUGUGAAGUGAAAGAACAAGAGCUUUACUUGAUUAAAUGGCAAACUAUGCCUUAUUAGCUUAUUAAUGUAGCCCUAUUUUUUAAAGAGCAAUCAGAUUCCUAGUUUUCUUGUCACACUUGCUUCUUCCUGAUUCAUGUUGAAUGUGUUUCUAACUUUGGUAAGAAUGAUGAACUCCAGUAGAAUAGGGUGAAUGCAGUCAAGGUUUUUUGUGUGUUUGUGAAUGGUUCUUAAGGUUAUUGCUGAACUUGCUGUUAUUUACAUAUUAAUACUUAGAAUUUAUAUGUCUUGGGUGUUUGCCUUUAUUCAUACAUGAAAUUGCUCUUUGAGUGGAUACUCGUGCCAAUUUUUGGAAUUUGUUAGUAUAAGAACUAGGAAAAAGUUGAAUCGAACUAUGGAUCAAAUGAACUGUGGAAUCUGUACUCAAUAUAAUAGGAAAUUCAUGCUAAGUUACAUGUAUCUGUUACAUUAUGGAAUCAGUGUUUGCAUUUUCUAGUUUGUGAUGAAUUUGUUGGAAUUAAUGCCCAAACAUGUAAUCAGAAUAGUCGUAUGGGGAUAUCUAUAUUAGCGAAGGCUUUUCUUUGCCUUGUGAAUCCUAACUACUGUGUGGUCCUUUGGUAGAUUUCAGGAGUUAAAAUCAUUGUUUUGAAAUGGAUGUGCUUAAGAGCCGUGUGAGAUAAAUUCAACAUCAUGAAUAUGUUUGUUUGAAGAUGUAAUUAUAAUGUUAAACAUGUUGAUCAACAACGUUCUUGUUUUCCUAAAAAGGUGAUUUUGACUCAUUUACUAAUAUUGAAACUGGGAUGUGGUUUCAGCCCAACUAUUAAAAGUCGUUCCGUGUGCUAUGGGGUGGUUUGGGCUUCACGUGAGCCCAUUUGUGUGCUUCAAGGUUGAGAUGCUAUAUGCCCCAGGUAGGCAAUUGGAUCAGUUUUUUAGUUUUGUUCGCUUGCAUAUAAGCUAAAAAUAUCAUUCUCUUUGUAUUCCUUCGGUAAAUUUCAUAAUGUUGGAUUUGAAGAACCACUUAGAUAAGUUACCAUUCUUGGGAUUUUCCUUUAUUCUCGUACCAAUGUGGUCGGGGGCCCAAAACGUUUCUUUAUCAUGAAAGUAAAAGUUCAAAUUCCUUUUAAGGUUCAAGUAAUUAGAUUACCUAAAAUGAAUUGGAGGUGUGCCAUAUUAGACCUUACAAAUAGUUUAUAGCCCUCCAAAGCUUAGUGUGAAUAUCCUUUUAAAUUAGAAUUGAGGUGCUCUAUGCCAAACAAAAUAAAAAUUGCAUGGCCCUCACUUAAUUAAUCUUGUUUUGAUCCUUAUAACUCGAGGCGUGCUAUUUAGAAAAUCUUCCAUGGCCCUCGCAAACUUGAAAGCGUGUAGCUGCUUUAGGCGCAUCAUUUUAAUAAAUUACCUUCCUAAACUCGGGUGCACAUUUAUGUGACACAAAUCCAAAUCUCAACGUUAGAUAAAAUAUGUUCAUGGACUAAGGCUGCAUUUAUGUGACAUGGUCCAAGACAUAUUUUAAAUGACAUUGCAAUUCUCCUAAGAAUGAAUUAAAAUGGUUAAAGAGUUAAAGCAGCCGUGGUAGAACCACGGAACCCAGAGUUGCCUAACUCCUUCCCUCGGGUUAACAGAAUUCCUUAUUCAGAAUUUCUGGUUCGCAGACUUCACAAGAAAAGUCAAAUUUUCCUCGAUUUCAGAUUAAAAUAAACCAGUGACUUGGUAUGCCAAUUAAACUACCCCAAGUGGUGACUCUAAAUUGAAUAAAUAAUCCCAUUUCGAAUAAUGUCUCUUAAAUUGGAAAAACUUUCUUAUACACUAUCCCUUUGGGGGGUGGUGUGUAAAAAGAAGGUGUGACAGCAAGUAAAGUACAAGUAUCAGAGACUUGGAGGUUUGUUCUAGAAGAUUGAGAUUCUUGAGUGGAAGUGGGAGCUUAUCUCUAUGGACUUCAUUGUUGGACUCCUACGGAUUUAGAGGAAGUUUGAUGCAGUGUGGGUUAUUGUUGAUAGGCUGACCAAGUCAGCAUAUUUAUUUCUUGUGAAAAUCUCCUAUUCUUCCGAGAGGUUAGCUGAGAUCUAUAUCUGCGAGAUUGUUCGUCUUGAUGGUGUGCCCUUAUCUAUCAUUUUAGACCAAGGUAUGCAGUUUACCUCACAUUUCUGGAGAGAAGUUAAGUGUGAGUUGGGCACACGAGUUGAGUUGAGCACAACGUUUCAUCCUCAGACGGACGGGUAGUGCGAGCGAACUAUCCAAAUUUUGGAGGAUAUGCUCCAGGCCUAUCCAGAUAAGUUUCUGCCUUUAGGAGAGUUUGCCAAGAACAACAGCUACUAGUCGAGCAUCCAGAUCGCUCCUUUUAAAGCUUUACAUGGUAGACAGUGUCGGUCACUAGUUGGAUGGUUUGAGCCGUGGGGGGUUGGGUGGGACUUGGUUUUUGGGUAAUAAUCUAUUACAGGAUGCCUUGUACAAGGUCACGAUCAUUCUGGAUAGGCUUCAUACAACUCAGUCCAGGCUAAAAAGUUAUGACGAAUGCAAGGUUCAUGAUAUGGCAUUCAUGGUUGGGAGCGAGUGUUGCUCUAGAUGUCUCCUAUGAAGGACGUGAUGCGAUUUGGAAAGAAGGGCAAGCUUAGCCCUAGGUUCAUUGACCCAGUUAAGAUUCUUGAUCGAGUGGAGAGGUGGCUUACAGACUUGCAUUGCCACCGAUCUUAUCAGUCGUGCAUCUAGUGUUUUAUGUGUCCAUGCUUCGGAAGUAUCACGGUGAUCCAUCCCACGUGUUGAAUUUCAGCACUGUCCAGUUGGACAAAGACUUGUCAUAUGAGGAAGAUUCGGUAGCUAUUCUAGACCAGUAGGUUCGUCAGUUGAGAUCGAAGAGUUUCCUUUCUGUUUGUGUUUAGUGGAGAGGUCAACCUGCUAAGGCAUUGACCUAGGAGUUCGAGUCCGACAUGUGGAGCCGUUAUCCUCAAAAUUUUUCGACGCAUGUACUUCCUUCUUAUAUCCGUUCGAGGACGAAAGGUUGUUUUAGAGGUGGAGGAUGUGAUGAUCCAAAAGAUCAUCACUUGACUUGUGUUCUGAGGCCUUAGCAAACUCCUUUUUCCUCACCCCGAUUUGCGCACAUGGUUUGGACGUAUAUCUUAAAUGCUUUUAUGUGGAAAUGUGAUAAAAAUGUUAAUUUAGCCUUAAAAAUUGUGACUUAGGUCAACAUUUUGGGUAAACAAACCCAAAAUUGUUAGUUGACAUUCUCGGAGGGUCUGUAGGAAAAUAUAGGACUUGGGCAUAUGUUCGGAAUCAAAUUUCGAGGUUCCAAGACUGUAAAUUUUUGAAAGAAAUUAUUUCACUGAAUAUAUAAGUGGAAAUUUGAUUAUAUUUGAAUUUAUGGUGUCUGGCCCGUAUUUUGGUUCCAGAGCUCGGUACAGGUUCAACAUGACAUUUAAGAUACGUCUGUGAAGUUUGGUAAUCAGAGUUCAUUUAGUAUGAAUCAGGCCAUCAUUAGAGAAGAUAUUUUCGAUGUUCUUGAGUAAUUGAUUAAUUUGAGGCUUUAAUCCAUAGUUUUUGUUUUUUUUUGAUUAUUUGAUCGUAUAGACUAGUCCGUAUGAUGUUAUUGGACUUGCGUGCAUGCUUGGUUCGAAGCUCCGAGGGCUCAAGUGGGUUUUGGAUUGGCUACGUAGUUGAUUUAGACAUUGAACAUGGAUAUUGCAGGUCAAGAGAAGUUGCAGGUCUCUAAAUCAGUCUAUGCUGCAGUGGUUUCUUGUGUCCGCGAUGGGUACUUCAUGACUGCAGAGGGAAUUCUAUGGUCCGCAGCAGGGCAAGGCUUCCCUUUUGCUGUCGCGGUCGAUUUCUUGCGGCCUGCGGUAGAGCUCCACGGCCGUAGUCCUUUUUGUGCAGUCCAUGGAUAGGAUCUGAGAGGAGUAUAUUUAAACGGUACUUUUAGUUGUUUUAUUAUUUUUCAAAACGCUAAAACAUAAAAGGUGAUUUUCCAAACGCUUCUUCUCCAAACCAUUAGUAAGUGAUCUUAAAUACAUUUCUUUAACUCCUUAACUCCUUUAGAAAAGAUUUCAUCCUAGAAUAUGUGGUUUUCAUGGUGAAAUUGAGAAUUUUGAGUAAAACCUUAGAAUAUUGAAAUUUGGGGAUUUAGACUACAAGUUGAGGUUAGAUUCCAAAACCAAUUACAUAUCCGGGCUCGGAGGUAAAUGGGUAAUCGAGUUUUUUUUCGAGUAUUGAGUUUGGACCAAGCGAGCCCAAGGUCGAUUUUUCACUUUUUGGAGAAAACUUUAGAGAACUUAUAUUCAUGCAUUGUAAUUGAUUCAUUUUGCAUUAAUUGAUAUAGUUAAGUGACUUGUUGCUAGAUACAAGCGAAUUGUUGGUGGAAUCAAGAGGUAAUGCGAUAGUUGAGGCUUGAAUUGUGUUCGUGGCAUCGAGGCAAGUGUUUGGUGUACCUUAGCUUGAGGAAUUAGGAGCCGUGUCCUAUUUGCUACGUCUUAACUGUUGAGUAGGACUUAUAGGCAUGGUACCGAGUAUCUAUAUAUUGGUGUCACGUAUGCCCGUGAGUCUUAUGUUAUGAUAAAUGUUACCCAGUUUGUAUUGUUCAUGCUUAAUAUGACGAUUUCCUAUAGUUGAGUAAGGUUUGUGGAAGGAAUAUUGGUAUUUGAACAUUGAAGAGUGUUGGCUCAAGUUGUAAAGUGAUUUGUCGAAGUAUAAUUAGUAAAUGAACCUUAUAGGGCAUUGGCUCAAAUUGUAAUUGAGUUGUGAAGUAAAUGUGAAAAAACGAAGAGGAUUAUGAUAUUGUCUCCCUUUUGGGAUAUUGUUGCUAAUGUUAUCUCCCUUGUCGAGAUGUUAUUAUUUUGAUAUUGUUUCCUCUUUCAGGAUAUGGUUGUUGUACUAUUAUAUUCCCUUUCCGGGAUUUAAUUGUAAAUUUGAUGAUUCCCUUCCCAUUAUUUUUUUGCGAUUGUUGUUUGGGUGAGGAAGAGUGUUAUAGCACGGAUGGUGAUGCCAUGCAUUGUCUUGGUUAGAGAGUGUUAAAGCACGAAGGGUGAUGUCGUGUAUGAUUUUUUGAGGAAGAGUGUAAAAGCACGAAGGGUAAU
rnacentral:lncRNA from 1 species